rnacentral:rRNA from 1 species
AACGUAGGACACAAGCGUUAUCCGGAGUUACUGGGCGUAAAGGGCGCGUAGGCGGCCGCCUAAGUCAGACGUGAAAUCCCUCGGCUCAACCGGGGAACUGCGUCUGAUACUGGGUGGCUUGAAUUCGGGAGAGGGAUGCGGAAUUCCAGGUGUAGCGGUGAAAUGCGUAGAUAUCUGGAGGAACACCGGUGGCGAAGGCGGCAUCCUGGACCGAGAUUGACGCUGAGGCGCGAAAGCCAGGGGAGCAAACGGG